UACAGAGGUCCCGAGCGUUGUUCGGAUUCACUGGGCGUAAAGGGUGCGUAGGCGGCGGGUUCAGUCUGAUGUGAAAGCUUCGAGCUCAACUCGGAAAUGGCAUUGGAAACUGCCUCGCUGGAGGCCUGGAGGGGGGAGUGGAAUACUCGGUGUAGCAGUGAAAUGCGUAGAGAUCGAGAGGAACACCAGUGGCGAAGGCGAGUCCCUGGACAGGAACUGACGCUGAGGCACGAAAGCCAGGGGAGCAAACGGG
rnacentral:rRNA from 1 species